rnacentral:rRNA from 1 species
UACAGAGGUCUCAAGCGUUGUUCGGAUUCAUUGGGCGUAAAGGGUGCGUAGGCGGCGCGGUAAGUCGGGUGUGAAAUCUCGGAGCUUAACUCCGAAACUGCAUUCGAUACUGCCGUGCUUGAGGACUGGAGAGGAGACUGGAAUUUACGGUGUAGCGGUGAAAUGCGUAGAUAUCGUAAGGAAGACCAGUGGCGAAGGCGGGUCUCUGGACAGUUCCUGACGCUGAGGUGCGAAAGCCAGGGGAGCGAACGGG